rnacentral:rRNA from 1 species
UACGUAUGGUGCAAGCGUUAUCCGGAUUUACUGGGUGUAAAGGGAGCGCAGGCGGUGCGGCAAGUCUGAUGUGAAAGCCCGGGGCUCAACCCCGGUACUGCAUUGGAAACUGUCGUACUAGAGUGUCGGAGGGGUAAGCGGAAUUCCUAGUGUAGCGGUGAAAUGCUUAGAUAUCACGAAGAACUCCGAUUGCGAAGGCAGCUCACUGGACUGCAACUGACACUGAUGCUCGGAAGUGUGGGUAUCAAACAGG